UGGAGGCAGCAGUGGGGAAUAUUGGACAAUGGGCGCAAGCCUGAUCCAGCAAUGCCGCGUGAGUGAGGAAGGCCUUAGGGUUGUAAAGCUCUUUCGGCGGGGACGAUGAUGACGGUACCCGCAGAAGAAGCCCCGGCUAACUUCGUGCCAGCAGCCGCGGUAAUACGAAGGGGGCGAGCGUUGUUCGGAUUUACUGGGCGUAAAGGGCGCGCAGGCGGACCAUCAAGUCAGGCGUGAAAGCCCCGGGCUCAACCUGGGAACUGCGCCUGGGACUGAAGGUCUGGAGUUCGGGAGAGGAGCGUGGAAUUCCCAGUGUAGAGGUGAAAUUCGUAGAUAUUGGGAAGAACACCGGUGGCGAAGGCGGCGCUCUGGACCGAUACUGACGCUGAGGCGCGAAAGCGUGGGGAGCAAACAGGAUUAGAUACCCUCGUAU
rnacentral:rRNA from 1 species